UAAAUACUCCCUCCGUCCGGAAAUACUUGUCCUAGAGAUGAAUGUAUCUAGACUAAUUUUAGUUAUAGAUACAUCCAUUAUAUCCAUUUCUAGGACAAGUAUUUCCGUACGGAGGGAGUAAUAA
rnacentral:pre_miRNA from 1 species